rnacentral:rRNA from 1 species
AUUGAACGCUGGCGGCAGGCCUAACACAUGCAAGUCGAGCGGAUGAGAGGAGCUUGCUCCUUGAUUUAGCGGCGGACGGGUGAGUAAUGCCUAGGAAUCUGCCUGGUAGUGGGGGAUAACGUUCCGAAGGGAACGCUAAUACCGCAUACGUCCUACGGGAGAAAGCAGGGGACCUUCGGGCCUUGCGCUAUCAGAUGAGCCUAGGUCGGAUUAGCUAGUUGGUGAGGUAAUGGCUCACCAAGGCGACGAUCCGUAACUGGUCUGAGAGGAUGAUCAGUCACACUGGAACUGAGACACGGUCCAGACUCCUACGGGAGGCAGCAGUGGGGAAUAUUGGACAAUGGGCGAAAGCCUGAUCCAGCCAUGCCGCGUGUGUGAAGAAGGUCUUCGGAUUGUAAAGCACUUUAAGUUGGGAGGAAGGGCAUUAACCUAAUACGUUAGUGUUUUGACGUUACCGACAGAAUAAGCACCGGCUAACUUCGUGCCAGCCGCCGCGGUAACAC